rnacentral:snoRNA from 1 species
GAUGAUGAACACAUGGCUACACAAUUGCUGAUCUCCUGCUUUCAAAUCGUUUGCUGAUU